CCUGGCUCCGUAUGAACGCUAGCUACAGGCUUAACACAUGCAAGUCGAGGGGCAGCAUGGUCUUAGCUUGCUAAGACUGAUGGCGACCGGCGCACGGGUGAGUAACACGUAUCCAACCUGCCGUCUACUCUUGGACAGCCUUCUGAAAGGAAGAUUAAUACAAGAUGGCAUCAUGAGUCCGCAUGUUCACAUGAUUAAAGGUAUUCCGGUAGACGAUGGGGAUGCGUUCCAUUAGAUAGUAGGCGGGGUAACGGCCCACCUAGUCUUCGAUGGAUAGGGGUUCUGAGAGGAAGGUCCCCCACAUUGGAACUGAGACACGGUCCAAACUCCUACGGGAGGCAGCAGUGAGGAAUAUUGGUCAAUGGGCGAGAGCCUGAACCAGCCAAGUAGCGUGAAGGAUGACUGCCCUAUGGGUUGUAAACUUCUUUUAUAAAGGAAUAAAGUCGGGUAUGCAUACCCGUUUGCAUGUACUUUAUGAAUAAGGAUCGGCUAACUCCGUGCCAGCAGCCGCGGUAAUACGGAGGAUCCGAGCGUUAUCCGGAUUUAUUGGGUUUAAAGGGAGCGUAGAUGGAUGUUUAAGUCAGUUGUGAAAGUUUGCGGCUCAACCGUAAAAUUGCAGUUGAUACUGGAUAUCUUGAGUGCAGUUGAGGCAGGCGAAAUUCGUGGUGUAGCGGUGAAAUGCUUAGAUAUCACGAAGAACUCCGAUUGCGAAGGCAGCCUGCUAAGCUGCAACUGACAUUGAGGCUCGAAAGUGUGGGUAUCAAACAGGAUUAGAUACCCUGGUAGUCCACACGGUAAACGAUGAAUACUCGCUGUUUGCGAUAUACUGCAAGCGGCCAAGCGAAAGCGUUAAGUAUUCCACCUGGGGAGUACGCCGGCAACGGUGAAACUCAAAGGAAUUGACGGGGGCCCGCACAAGCGGAGGAACAUGUGGUUUAAUUCGAUGAUACGCGAGGAACCUUACCCGGGCUUAAAUUGCAGAUGAAUUACGGUGAAAGCCGUAAGCCGCAAGGCAUCUGUGAAGGUGCUGCAUGGUUGUCGUCAGCUCGUGCCGUGAGGUGUCGGCUUAAGUGCCAUAACGAGCGCAACCCUUGUUGUCAGUUACUAACAGGUUCCGCUGAGGACUCUGACAAGACUGCCAUCGUAAGAUGUGAGGAAGGUGGGGAUGACGUCAAAUCAGCACGGCCCUUACGUCCGGGGCUACACACGUGUUACAAUGGGGGGUACAGAGGGCCGCUACCACGCGAGUGGAUGCCAAUCCCCAAAACCUCUCUCAGUUCGGACUGGAGUCUGCAACCCGACUCCACGAAGCUGGAUUCGCUAGUAAUCGCGCAUCAGCCACGGCGCGGUGAAUACGUUCCCGGGCCUUGUACACACCGCCCG
rnacentral:rRNA from 1 species